UUAAAUUGCAUCAUAUGACCCGUUUAAAAUAGAAAAGAAAGAUUAUGGAUGUGUAAAACUCCCUUUUUCUGCCCUCAGGGGGGGUUCUCAACUACAGAUGAGAUGUGUUUGGCCUUCAUCUUCUACUAUCCAGCUAUGAAUCUGAGCAGCUGUGAGAGCUUCCCUGAUUUAAAGUCAUUACAUUCUGCAAUGGGAGCAACAGAUACUGAUUCUUGGUACAAUAUAAUGUUCACCAAGACUUGGAAUGACAUGACUAUCAAUGAAUACCAACAGACACUGAAGAGUAUCGACCAGUUCAUCACAGUUGUGAACUCACUUAACAAUGCAUCUUCCUUUAAAGGGACUCUUCCUGAUCUCAAAGUCAUCCCGCCUGCACCCUGCAUAAGUGGCUGUGUGACCAAAAGUCUUGCUGUGCUAUCUCUGCUCACAUGUUUGGCAUUGCAAUGGGCUUCCUUUUGAAACACUAAUGCAAACUAGCACUGAUGUAACUUGUCUGAAUGUCUGAAUCAUAAAGAGGGCAAAAACCCCUGACUGAAAAUUGAGCAAGCUAUAUGUAACUUCUUCCUUUUUUUU